AGCUGCGGGUUCAGCCCCGUCAGUCCCGA
rnacentral:tRNA from 1 species